rnacentral:lncRNA from 1 species
CCAGAGCUCAGGCUGGGGAAGCUGGGAUUUCGGCCGGCAGCCCCCCGUGACAGGGUGGGGAGAGAAGGGAGCAUUUGGUGCCCUGUGGUACUGGGAGUCCCUGCCCUGCCUCACUCUCUCCAGGCCAGUAGUGUCCUCUGGGGCCUCUCUGCGCCCCACAGCUAGCCCAGGGUCUCUGUCGGGGCCCCUGAUCCCCCACACACUGCAUGGCUCUCCUGCCUGAACCCUCAUCACCUCAGCUUGAACCUAGGUGACUCUGCCCCUGUCUGGCCCCACAGCCUUGCUGUGUCCCCUCUGAGCCCCAGGCUCAGACGCUUCCUGGCAUCCCUUCUUUUAUUCUUUUAGUUUAUUUACUUAUUUAAUUUUUUGAAACAGGGCCUUGCUGUAUUGCCCAGGGCCACCUUGAACUCCUGAUCCUCCUGGUCCUGGCCUCUCAUGAGGCAGGGGUCCCCUCCCGCCAUGGAGAUGUUCCACACAGGCCUGAGCAGGCCAGGGGCUGCCACAGCAGGAGCCAGGUCUCCCCUCCCUGGGCGAAGCCAGGACAGGCCCGCGCCCCCCCUGCAACUCCACUCCUCCAGGGCCCUGGGGAGAUUCUCACCCUGGGCCACCAGCCUCCUGUGGUUUUGAAAGUCCUGCCAGAGGACAUUCCAAUCCAAGAUUGCAUCUGACAUCUUAGUAGCUGGAAAUGGGGGGAGUAGGCCUCGCCGAUUUCAGAUAAAUAAAACGAGGACUCCCAGCCCCUCGGCCAGUCAGAGCUGCAAGUCCCCAGGAUGCAGAGAGCCUGGCCUGACUCCGGAAUACAGGUCACCCAGCCAGGGGCCAUAGGAGGCUGCCAGGGAUCAGCAAGGGGAGAGGAACACAAGCUGGAAUCCCUGAGCUGCUCCGCACACAGGCGCACCCACACCCCGGCGCACCCACACCCCGUAACUGCACCCGCACCAAGGCCAUUGCCUACCUGAGACAGACCCAGAGCACUGUGACAGCCUGGACUUGCUGCUAGAGGUGGCUCUUGGCAGCCAGAGGACUGGGGCUGGCCAGGCUCCCCAGCCUGGAGGACAGAAGCUAGCACCGACCUGCAGUGGCUGGACUGGGCAGGGCUCCGCCUCAGGAGACAACACCUGAGGCAGGAGGGAAGGACACCCGAGAGGUGUGGCUGGGGCUUCGUCCCUGUGGGAGGUGGGUUAGCUCCCGGAAUCCCUCUGGCAAUCAUCUCCCCG